rnacentral:rRNA from 1 species
GGGGAAUAUUGCGCAAUGGGGGAAACCCUGACGCAGCAAUACCGCGUGAGUGAAGAAGGUUUUCGGAUCGUAAAGCUCUGUUAUUGGGGAAUAAAGUGAGGCACGUGUGCCUUAUUGUAUGUACCUUAGGAAUAAGCAUCGGCUAACUCCGUGCCAGCAGCCGCGGUAAUACGGAGGAUGCAAGCGUUAUCCGGAUUUAUUGGGUUUAAAGGGAGCGUAGGCGGACUAUUAAGUCAGCUGUGAAAGUUUACGGCUCAACCGUGAAAUUGCAGUUGAAACUGGUCGUCUUGAGUGCAGUAAAGGUGGGCGGAAUUCGUGGUGUAGCGGUGAAAUGCUUAGAUAUCACGAAGAACUCCAAUUGCGAAGGCAGCUCACUGGAGUGUAACUGACGCUGAGGCUCGAAAGUGUGGGUAUCAAACA